AUAUCUGACAUUAGCAUUCAGUUUGCUCUCUGGCAUGAUUACCAAACCAAAUAUAGAUGGGCGGAGUGAGAGUACAGAUUCGGAGUCUGAGGUGGGAGGUUUUACAUGAGAGACUCGAGGAGAUGGGUACACUGCAUUGAUAUCUUCCACGUUGUGCGCGAAAACCACACGAUCCCUCCCCGAUAUUACGCAGUCUAUUUAAACGCAACAUCCACACACCCAUUCCAUCACUCACCACUUUGGUCGUCUCACCUGUACUCGCAGUGUUCAGGAGAGGAACCCAGUGAUGGAUCAGGACAAGUACCUGCCAGAGCUCAUUGCCGAGAAGGACAGCUUGGACCCGUCGUUCGUCCACGCGAUGCGCCUUCUUGCUGAAGAGAUUGAAAAGUUUGAAGGAGACGAGUUGAGAAAAGAUGGCGAGGUGAAGAAAUACUUGGAUAUCAUCAGCAACAAAAACAUCAAGCUGUCGGAGCGCGUGCUGAUCCCGGUGCAGCAGUAUCCUAAGUUUAAUUUUGUUGGGAAACUGCUGGGGCCCAGGGGCAAUUCCAUGAAAAGAUUACAAGAGGAAACAGGAGCAAAGAUGUCCAUCCUCGGCAAGGGUUCAAUGAGGGAUAAAGGCAAGGAGGAAGAGCUGAGGAAAAGUGGAGAGGCGAAAUAUGCCCAUUUGAGCAACGAUCUUCAUGUUUUAAUUGAAGUUUUUGCACCACCUGGAGAAGCCUAUUCCCGCAUGAGCCAUGCCCUGGAGGAGAUUAAGAAAUUCCUUGUUCCAGAUUACAAUGAUGAGAUCAGGCAGGAGCAACUUCGUGAGCUCUCCUACUUAAAUGGCUCAGAUGACCCAAGCCGAGGAAGAACCGCACGAGGACGAAGCUUACGUCUGACCUCCACAGCCUCCACCCGAGGUCGAGGGGGGGCAGCUGCACCCCCUCCACCUGGACGAGGAGCAGCAGCACCCAGAGGAACUGUGGGAACACGCACCUCUGUCCAAACCCCCACACUAGCCAGGGGAGUGUCUGCACCCCGGUCCAGAGGAACUGCAGGGACCCCUGGAUACAGAGCCCCGCUACUGCAGGCCACGCACAAAUCAUAUGAUGACUACGGAUAUGAUGAUGGGUACGAUGGGGAAUAUGAUGACCAGAGUUAUGAGGGCUAUGAUGACAACUACAGCAACCAGUCGAAAAGUGUCUCAGAAUAUUAUGAAUAUGGACACGGUAAUAAUGAUGAAGCUUACAACAAUUAUGCAGAAGAGGACUGGAUAUCAUCGCGGCCCAACCUCAAAGCUCCAGCAUCAAGACUUACUCGAGGGGGCUAUAGAGAUCACCCCUAUGGUAGAUAUUAAAGGUACCAGUCUCUCUGUGAGCUGAGAUGCAGUGGAUUGAGUCAGACUGGGCCUUCUGCUGUCGAUAUGUGGAGCAUACUGAUAAAAACCAAUCAGUGAGAAGUGAGGGGGCUCCGUCUCAUUUGGCUGAGGAAGAGUCUGUGCUUAUAAACAGUCUGUGCACAGACGCUGUAUGCCAGUGUUGAACUGUUCAUUUCCAUGGAUCUGAAUAGAGCUGAUCUUGACUGAACAUCACUGCAGGGCACAGAUGACCACUGCGUAUCAAUCUUGUCUUAAUGAAAUCUGAACACUGUCUUAUGAAAUGGACUUCACUCUGGAUUGGCUCACUCAGACCACGUAGAAGGUCCAAGAAGAUACCUUCAAGUUGUACCACGUCCAGUUAGAAUACUUUAAAGAUCCAUAAAUUCAAUAUGGCAUUAUGGUGUUAAGAUCAAUAUAGCAACAUAAGGCAUGCCACAAAUUGUGGUAUAAUUUGAGGCUAUGCUGAUCCUUACAUUGUUUUUAGGUUUAAAUCCUUUCUCAUGCACAGUGCUAUGCUGUAAGGUCUUGCAUUUUUUUGGUCAUAUAUCCUCUUUUCACUUAAUCUUUUUUAUCCCACAGGACAAAAAAAGGACAUAAUUGGAUUAAAUGGUUGUUGAAGAUGAAGUAUAUUUUGUCUAAGUACGUCAUCUACGCUGUCACCUCAAUGAAAGCUAAAUGAGAAGGUUUAACUUGGUGCAUUAAAUCUUGAUAUACAACCACGUAUAGCUAAAUACUUAUAUCUUCAUGCAACACAAACAGUUUUCUUGUAUUUUUGGGUUUAUAGAAGCAGCUUGUUUUUGUGCUUUCUGCCACAGUGUCACCUGUGAGCUUAUGACUCAGUUUGCUGUUUGAACCUGUGCUGUCAAAGCCUGAGGCGUCAAAAAUUAUUUACCAUGUAGACAAUACAUACAGUAAGUGAAUUUCACACAAAGGUUUAUCUUCAUUGAAACGUUGUAUGUAAUCAAAAUCCAGUGCUUAAAUCUACACAUAUUCUCAUUAAUGCUUUGAGUUAUCCUCAGCUGAAUGUGUUUUGAGCUUUUUCUCCUUGCAGUGGGAAUUUCUAAACAUCCAAUCAUGGUUUUUUUUAAGUGGCAUUUUAACACCGUCUAAGUGCCCUUGAGGUUAUCAACACAGCUCAGACCGAAUUUUAAAAUUCAAUUUCCUUAUGACUGUACAAAUGAAACAGCAUCUUUCUGGAGAAUGUGAAAAGCUUGAAAGACUAAACGCAUAUACCUCAAAGCAAUCAAUAGUUUGUACAAAAUGGUUUGUCAAAUUGGAGUUUGCACUCAUCUCGACUAAAACAGUAAAGAACAUUUAAGCACAUUUUUUUCUAGUCAUAAGUCUUUUAUAUCUGACCCCAGUAUGAAUCCAGUUUACUGCCAAUUUCACUCAGCAGUUGUCAGCGAAUCUAGCAGUUCUCUCUGUUAUUAUCUAUGUGGUACAGGGAAUAAAGGAAAUGCUUUUAUUUUUUUUAUUUUUCUUACCAGGUUCUGAGACUCAGUAGUGAGAAAUGUGAACUCAGCCACAAUCAAAUUAAAGUACUCUUCAUCGUAAUGCUCCAGUAAAAUGACACGUCCCAUAAAAAAGUGAAUUCUCUCAUGUAUUGUAAUACAUAGAAGUACCAGUGAUAAAAUCAUGACCAGCAACACGGUUUUAUACUUCACAGUACAUAAUAAAGCUUUGAAUCACACCUCUGCAUGAAGUCUUAUGUAGUGUUUAUUUCAGUUCUAGACGUGUGCUGCGAUCUUCAGACUUGAGUAACAGUUCCCAUCAUGCAGUGUUCUGUUUCAGCUCUGAUCAAACACACCUGAACCCCAUCAGGGUCUACAGGUUUUACAUGAAAAUCACUGGC